rnacentral:lncRNA from 1 species
CUAAAAAAAAUUUAUUGCUGCAAUUUCAGAAAAGGAUUGAAAGAGGAAAGAAACCAGGAUUCAACAGAUAUACAUGCUAUUCAGUUCAUUGGAAAUAAAAACCAGCAGGUGGAAGAACUACAGGAUGGGCAGCAAUUCUGCAGGACAGUACAUGCAGGCUUCAGAAGAGUGUGAUUUUCAAGUGUGAUUCCAUGGCAGUGUGGAAAAGAAUUCAAGCUAUGCUAGAAAUCAGCUGGAGUGGGAUUUGCCUGGUCAUGAGCCCAAGGGAGGGCUUUUGGACUAAGAUAACAUCAGGAAUAAUAAUAAUGAUAGACUCUUGCUUUCCUUACUAUGCUGUCGUUAGCUCAACCCACGAGUUUUCCAGCUUUAACCCUCCCGAUUUCUCGCCAUGCUGCUGGUGAGGGGUGAGUGAGCGCCUUUGGGGCUGGGUUGGCAGAGGGGUCACAUCACCGUGGGUGAGGGACGGGGGAACGGGAGGUGCUCCAGGACAGAAGAACUUCUGCCACCGCCUCUCCUCAGGGACCCCAGCCCGCCCACCGCGGGCUUGUCCUCGGCUACGCUCCGCUCGACCUACGGCCAAAAUGACAGGCACGCCCGCGAG